GGAGACUUGAAGGGGACUGUGUCUCUCUUUUCGUUUCACAUUUGGGCUUGCAUACAGACCACUGCUAUGCCAGCUGGCUAGGUCGCUCUGUACUGAAAUGAACUCACCAUAUGUUUUGCAGAACAGGAAGCCUAUCCAAACUGUGAUCAACACCCCUCCCGCAUUGGUUGAUGUAUUUGAACACUUAGUCCCCAGUGGGUGUGCUGUGGAACUUUGAGGAUAUGGAGACUUGCUGGAGGAAGUACAUCACCAUCACCGGGGGCCAGCUCUGAGUGUUUAUAGACUGGCCCCAUUUCCAGUUCAUUCUCUUUCUGCUUCCUGCCAUGCCCUCCCAACCACUAUGAACUAC
rnacentral:lncRNA from 1 species